rnacentral:rRNA from 1 species
AUUGAACGCUGGCGGCAGGCCUAACACAUGCAAGUCGAACGGUAGCACAGAGAGCUUGCUCUCGGGUGACGAGUGGCGGACGGGUGAGUAAUGUCUGGGAAACUGCCCGAUGGAGGGGGAUAACUACUGGAAACGGUAGCUAAUACCGCAUAACGUCGCAAGACCAAAGUGGGGGACCUUCGGGCCUCACACCAUCGGAUGUGCCCAGAUGGGAUUAGCUAGUAGGUGGGGUAAUGGCUCACCUAGGCGACGAUCCCUAGCUGGUCUGAGAGGAUGACCAGCCACGCUGGAACUGAGACACGAUCCAGACUCCUACGGGAGGCAGCAGUGGGGAAUAUUGCACAAUGGGCGCAAGCCUGAUGCAGCCAUGCCGCGUGUAUGAAGAAGGCCUUCGGGUUGUAAAGUACUUUCAGCGGGGAGGAAGGCGGUGAAGUUAAUAACUUCACCGAUUGACGUUACCCGCAGAAGAAGCACCGGCUAACUCCGUGCCAGCCGCCGCUGUAA